UUGUAUCUGAUUCCUGAACUUUAAAUUGAUUAUACCUUUGCAUGUGAAAAUUGAAUCAUCAUUUAUGUGAGGGCAUUCGAAGGCUUUUGUUGAGCUUGAACUUGCAUUUGAAGCAAGUAUUGCGAGCUUGAGAAUCUUUGGUAAUGGUGUGUCACAACUUGAAUCUUUGAGUACACAAUUGAUCCUUGCAUAAGUAAAUUGAG
rnacentral:lncRNA from 1 species